GAUGAACGCUAGCGGGAGGCUUAACACAUGCAAGUCGAGGGGCAGCAUAGGGUAGCAAUACUCUGAUGGCGACCGGCGCACGGGUGAGUAACACGUAUGCAACCUACCCUGUACAGGGGGAUGACCCGGAGAAAUUCGGACUAAUAUCCCAUAAUGAUAUUGAGGGGCAUCCUUUAAUAUUUAAAGCUCAGGCGGUACGGGAUGGGCAUGCGGAACAUUAGCUAGUUGGGAGGGUAACGGCCUACCAAGGCAACGAUGUUUAGGGGACCUGAGCGGGUGAUCCCCCACACUGGUACUGAGACACGGACCAGACUCCUACGGGAGGCAGCAGUGAGGAAUAUUGGUCAAUGGGCGCAAGCCUGAACCAGCCAUCCCGCGUGCAGGAAGACGGCCCUAUGGGUUGUAAACUGCUUUUCCAGGGGGAGAAUUUUUCUGUCGUGACAGGAAUUGACGGUACCCUGGGAAUAAGCAUCGGCUAACUCCGUGCCAGCAGCCGCAGUAA
rnacentral:rRNA from 1 species